AGAGUUUGAUCCUGGCUCAGAUUGAACGCUGGCGGCAUGCCUUACACAUGCAAGUCGAACGGUAACGCGGGGCAACCUGGCGACGAGUGGCGAACGGGUGAGUAACGCAUCGGAACGUGCCCAGUAGUGGGGGAUAGCCCGGCGAAAGCCGGAUUAAUACCGCAUACGACCUACGGGUGAAAGCGGGGGACCGUAAGGCCUCGCGCUAUUGGAGCGGCCGAUGUCAGAUUAGGUAGUUGGUGGGGUAAAAGCCUACCAAGCCGACGAUCUGUAGCUGGUCUGAGAGGACGACCAGCCACACUGGGACUGAGACACGGCCCAGACUCCUACGGGAGGCAGCAGUGGGGAAUUUUGGACAAUGGGCGCAAGCCUGAUCCAGCCAUGCCGCGUGCGGGAUGAAGGCCUUCGGGUUGUAAACCGCUUUUGUCAGGGAAGAAACGCUCCGGGCCAAUACCCUGNGGUAAUGACGGUACCUGAAGAAUAAGCACCGGCUAACUACGUGCCAGCAGCCGCGGUAAUACGUAGGGUGCAAGCGUUAAUCGGAAUUACUGGGCGUAAAGCGUGCGCAGGCGGUUUUGUA
rnacentral:rRNA from 1 species